CAGACGCCCAGCCCGACACAGGUGUUGAGGGCACGUACAACGGAUAAAGGCUGGUGUCUUUCAGGACAAGGCUCCUAUCUGGCAACUUUUUGAAGUAAAAAACAGCUGAUUCAAAGGGGGUGUAGCGGAUCUCAAACCUCUUCUGCGAAGGACUCAGGUAGGAUACUCUUGUGCUUCCUCUCUGGGAGGAGGCUAUCGAGAAGGUAAGGCCACUACUCUGUUGGCCUUUUCUCAAUUAGAUUUGCUCAAGUCCUGGGUCCUCUCUUCUGUGUCCUCUGUCGCCUUCUUUUGAAAAAGGUUGGGUCAUGGAGAAAGGAUGGAGGAGUUGAGGAGAGUUUGGGCUUUUGUCCAACCCAUAAUCUCCCGACCAGUGUUUCAAACCAGCAGCCCUACAUUUUCAGGUCAAAUUUAGAAGUCUCGCAAAAUGAACACCUGCCGAAACCCUUUUUCAAACUGCUAGAAGACAAUGCUUCCACCUGCUGGUUCCAUGACAAACUCACACGUACUUUUAGUUAGAAUUUUAUUAGGCUAACCUUUUACUGACUAUAUGUACGAAAAUGUGCCUCAGUUGAUCUGGAGUCUUCUUGCUAACAGACACAGGCUCUCAAUGUGUAAUGGAAGUUCUAGAACUGCUCAGAUAAAAUGACCUGUUAUUUCAUCCAUUGUUCAUGAGAAGAUGGUAUUUACCCUUCAGGAUGACGCAAUAUUAAUGUGGUCUUACUCAACCAUUCAAUUAGUUAUAGUUUAUGUAUUAUAUGUUAUAGUAUUGCUUACAAACACCAUUUUAACACAUUCUUUGAAAACAAAGUUAUCCUUUUAUUUUGUAUAAUCAUAACUGUAUGUAGGUAUCAUUUCUAUUGCAUAAAGGCUUUUAUAUAAUAUUUUUAAUUCGUGUUUUUCCUUCGCUGAAUUGUCCACAUGUAAAACACAUAGCAGAGGAUGGUUUCGAUC
rnacentral:lncRNA from 1 species